rnacentral:ribozyme from 1 species
GGGCAGAUAAAUCUCAUAAUUGAAAAUUCUUGUUACUUUUUUUUUUUUUUUUUUUUUUU